rnacentral:tmRNA from 1 species
GGGGGUGACCUUGGAUUUGAUGAGAGGAAUCCGUACCCAUUGCAAGCCAUUGCUCGAUGAUCGCUGAGCAUAAACUCGGUCAAACCAAAAAUGCUAACGCAUGAAAAUCUCUUCUUAAGAGAGCUGAACUUGUAAAGGCUUACGCUUAGUAAUCUUUCAAGCCAGUUAAAACUAACCUUGUCUCUUGACUCCUGCUAGGAGCAAGGCCGAUUUGAGCAGGAAACCAAAACCUUGUGUUGAAAAAAUUGAAGAAUUGAGUUUGUUACUUUUCUCCUUCUCCCCUCAGCAUAAGGCUAAAAAAUUAGGUUAAAAAGCUAACUAUAAUGGUAGAAAGCGGUGAGUAUGCCUUUUAGACCGGAGUUCAAUUCUCCGCACCUCCAA